rnacentral:rRNA from 1 species
CUUGAAACAAGAGUGACGGGCGAUUUGUGCAUGUUUAAUGUCAUUCGAAUUCUAAUAAAAUUUCUAUUUGAAUUUUAAUUUUAAGUCCUUUUUCAGUUUUAUUUUUUAUAUACAUCUAUUUUGUUCAUUUUUUGUAUCCCAUGAGCUUCCUGUUUAUGGUCUCUGUCUUGAUUUGUAUUGCUAUAUUUAUUAUUUUUUAAAAAAAUUUUUAAAUUUCUAUUUUAAACAAUGAUAUAGAAAAUAAAAAAAACUAGGUAGAAUUAAUCGUGGGCUGUCUAUUAUACCACAGGAUCCCCUAUUUAGUUUAAACACCGCCAUCUCACUUAAUUUUUGUUUAAUUAACUACUAAUUUUCUUUAAAUUAAAA